rnacentral:rRNA from 1 species
CAGCAGUGAGGAAUAUUGCGCAAUGGGGGCAACCCUGACGCAGCAACGCCGCGUGGACGAUGAAGGCCUUCGGGUUGUAAAGUCCUUUUCUGAAGGAAGAUAGUGACGGUACUUCAGGAAUAAGUCCCGGCUAACUACGUAGCCAGCAGUCGCGGUAAAACGUAUGGGGCGAGCGUAAUCCGGAUAUACUAGGGCGUAAAGCGCACGUAGGCGGCAUCGUAAGUUGGACGUGAAAAGCUCCCGGCUCAUCUGGGAGAGGUCGUUCAAAACUGUGGUGCUUGAGGUUGAUAGAGGAGAGUGGAAUUCCCGGUGUAGUGGUGGAAUAGCGUAGAUAUCGGUAGGAACACCAGUGGCGAAGGCGGCUCUUUAGGUCACACCUGACGCUGAGCUGCGAAAGCGUGGCGAGCGAACGGGAUUAGAUACCCCGGUAGUCCACGCUGUAAACGAUUGAUACUAGGUGUGGGAGGUUAUUUACCCCUUCUGUGCCGUAGCUAACGCGUUAAGUAUCCCGCAUGGGGACUACGGCCGCAACGGUUAAACUCAAACGAAUUGACGGGGGCCCGCACAAGCAGCGGAGCGUGUGGUUUAAUUCGAUGAUACGCGAAGAACAUUACCUGGGCUUGACAUGGUGGUAGUUGUGAAGCGAAAGCGGAACGACCAUUCGGGGAGCCAUCACAGGUGCUGCAUGGCUGUCGUCAGCUCGUGUUGUGAGAUGUUGGGUUAAGUCCCGCAACGAGCGCAACCCUCGUCGCUAGUUAUAUGUGUCUAGUGAGACUG